rnacentral:lncRNA from 1 species
GGAUCAAUCCCCAAAUCCCGAGCUUAAAAACACCCGAUCCCGACGCCCCGAAAAAGGUCCUGUCUCCCUCUAAUCUCUACCUUACUUUCAUUUUUGCCAAAUCACUAUUUUCCCUUUCAACCAUAAAUUUUUAUGCGCCAUUUAUGGGCAUUAUGUUUUCUAGUCUGUGCAUCCGUGCGUUCGUUCGUUCAGUCGUCCGUCCGUCUGUCCCGC